rnacentral:lncRNA from 1 species
GUCAGAAAUAUGUAUCUGUUUAGAAGUUAUAUCUUUCAUAACUAUACAGGAAGAAACAUCAUCAAGAUUAAAAGUGGAACUCAAACCGAAUGUGAAGAAUAAAUUACAAAAGCAAAGCCAAGAAGAAUGUUUACAGAAAAUCUCAAACUAAGAAAAAUGCAGACUGCUUCGUUUAUUGUAUAGUAGUAAGAAAAAUUUCAGGUAAACAAGUAAAUGUGGUACCAUUUAAUGCAGAGCAUCGGGAGGGGACCUUGUGAAUACAGCUUCCCAUUAGACCUCCUUUGCAUUUCUCAUCAUACUGUCGACUUUGCUUGGGGCUCACAUUUCACAGCAUUUUCUAAGUGGUGUUUCAUGUAUCCUUAAAUUUCUAGAGUAUAACAGAAAGUCUGGUUUGUAUCCAUCAUAUGAGUUGAAGGGAAUGUGAAAGCAAAAUGGCAAGAUUGAAAUGAGUAGAAAAGCAUUUGCUUCGAUGUGGGACUUCUGUUAUUAUAAAGUAAGAAAGAACACAUUACUUUAGUAAGAAAAGAAGAAAAGUGAUAUUUUUUCUUGAGAGGGCUAUUAAUGUUCCCUAACCAAGUCUCUAACCUGACUUCAGUAUUUUGGUUGAUUUCCCAAAAGAUUGAAUUUUCAAAAUUAUGUAAUUUUGGUGCAAAUUCUCCUCUGAGCAUUUACUGCUACAGAGAGAGAGAGUUCAUGAUCAUUUUAAUACUUUAAGUCAUUUUAAACCCUGCUAGAUUAAAAUUCUUUAUAAAAUAUGAUGUGAAAACAUAUAGAUGGUUUUCUUAUUUAACAACUAAAAAUGUCAAGUAUCUUUUUGAUAUAAAAAGGUAUUUAUAAAAUAGUGUGUUAUUUUUUUGAUUUAUUAUAAUAUACUCAGUUAUUAUCUCUUCCUUUGGAUCCUUCCAUCAAAAUUGUCCGAAUGGACAGUGUUAUACUGAUUGUUACUGUCCCAUCUAAUCAGUCAAGAAGUUUGGAAACUUUAUUAUUUCAUGAUACAUUCAAUUGACCAAGCAGGUUUGUGCAUCUUUCUUACUAAAUAUAUUUUCAUUUUUCCCAUGCUCUUCUAUCUGCACAGUCAUUGUCUACCAUUAUGAAUGUCAUAUUUUACGUGGAUUACUGAAAGGAAUUUCCACAGACUAUUUUAUUUGUCCAUAUUGGAUCCUAAUCUAUUCACCUCCCUUCCUUUUGAUAGAGUGCUCUUUCUAGAAAAGAAAUUAUUGUGCUAACUCUCCGAUUUAACCACCAGUGAGUGGAUCUCCUUUUCUAGUGACAUCAUGUUACACUCAGUAGCAUGACAUAAAAGACCCUCCAGAAUUUGAUGUUUGCUUGAAGUUCCAGUUCUAUCCACAAUUUCUCUUUCCCUCAGAACCUGCAUUUCAGAUACGGAAAAUCCUUGUUAGUUCACUGAAAACACUCUUAAGACUUUGUACACACCACUUUCCACUGGACUUCUUUCCCUCCUUUGACUGUCUUCACAUAUCUUAUGCAAGUGUCUUCACAUUCACUUCUUAAUGUUUUUAUCAAACAUUUUCUCUUCUUUGAAGACCUGUGCCAUCUUCCUAGCCCAAUGUGAGGCAGUUCAUAGUGUUUGUCCCUUUCUUUUGGUUUGAUUUUUUUAUUCCAUUUCUCCCAAAAACUACCAUCUGGGGAGAAAAAUCAUGAAAUUUAUUUAGUUCUGUCAUCUUGCCACAUCUUUGUUGACUUCUUAUAUCUUUACUUUGUUUUAUAAUUGUAAUUUCUGUAUAAUGUUGUAUAUUCAUGACCCUGUGUAUAGGCAUGGUUUUUAUUUACCAUUAAACAAAUACCAUUUAUGCAUUUUAUUUACCAUAUCCAAAGUUUUCUUUGGCUAACGUUUUUUUUGCUUGCCAUCACCCUUUCCUGUUUCCUUUCUCUUUUCAUUAUGGAACAUCUUAUAUUUUCCUUGGUGUCUUUGUGAUUAUUGCUUUCCUUUCUCUAGGUUCUUCUAGGACUAAGAAAAUAGAGCCAAGUUUCUGGCUUAUGAGAACUUCUUGUGAAACAGGUGUGUAUUUUUUUUUGUGUGUGUGUGUGUGGCAAUAGAGAGAAAGAGAGGAUAUUUUUGACAUCACUCUUCACCACCCACAGAACUUGAAAGUCAUAGGUAUGCUCACAGGAUGGUUUUCUUCACCGAUCUUCAGCUACUUGCCUCUUUCUACAAAUGUGACUUGUCUGUUGGUUUGGGGGAGAUUCCUAUUGUCAGAAUUUGCAAUGAUUUUAUUUGUUCUAAACAAAGAAUCGUUAGCCUGCAAGUGUGCCAAUUUCCUAGAGAAGGGUUCUCUACUAGAAUUAUCUGAUAUCAGCAGCAAUGAGUAUCUUCUCAAUGUCUUGUAACACUGCUUUUCUUUUUUUUUUUCAUUUCAAAUAUAUAAUUUAUAAAUUCUGAAAAGUUUAUGCAGUUGUAUAACUACCAUUGAAAAUUUCAUUGUGCUCUUUUACAGUCAGUUUCCUCUAACCACUUGCAUUUUGCAGCCAUUUCUAUGACUUUUGCUGCCAGAGGUGAUCAUAUUCUGGAAUAUCAAAUAUGUGCAAUGUAUAGUCUAUUUUAUUAGGUGUCUUUCACUUAGCAUUCCACGUUUUACAUAUAUUUAUGCUGUUUCAUAUAUCAAUAAUUCAUUAUUGUUUUUAUUGCUAACUAGUUUUCCAUUGGAUGAUUUUAUUAUAGUUUGGUUAUUCAUGUAGAAGUUGAAUGACAUUUGGAUUAUUUCCAAGUGUAGGUAAUUAUGAGUAGAGCUAGUAUAAACUUUCACAUAUAGGUCUUUUUUUAAAAUUUUUUUAUUGGUUGUUCAAAACAUUAUAAAGCUCUUGACAUAUCAUAUUUCAUACAUUAGAUUCAAGUUGGUUAUGAACUCCCAAUUUUACCCCAAAUACAGAUUGCAGAAUCACAUCGGUUACACAUCCACAUUUUUACAUAAUGCCCUAUUAGUAACUGUUGUAUUCUGCUACCUUUCCUAUCCUCUACCAUCCCCCCUCCCUCCCCUCCCAUCUUCUCUCUCUACCCCAUCCACUGUAAUUCAUAUCUCUCCUUGUAACACUGCUUUUCAACCCUGAUUGUUCCUGUGGCUCAAAAAAUAUCAAUUUCAUAGAAGGUGGUAUCUGGAGUUUUCAUGCUUGCUCUUCUAAUCAUUUUAAUCGAUUUCUGAGAUGGUAAAUUAGACCUGCCAUCUUCCUUCUGUUAUAUUAAAAUAAGAAUUAUUAAACUGUGUUAGAAUUGUGUUAAUUAUCAGAUUGGAUUUUAUAGUUUGAGAGUAUCUGGAAGAUUGAAAACUUUCUAUUUUUGCAUUUUAUAGUCCAGACCCUGCUACAUUGCAUUCUUUAGUACCUUCUUACUGAUGAACCACCAUGGAUGAGAAGAGAGUACAAAAAAGGGAGGAGAGUAUAGUGGCAGCACCUCAAGUAGAAACUGUCAUGGCCUGAGGGAAAGCACUGCAGCACAGAUAAAAAUUAAAAUGUGUCUGGCACAUGGAAUCAGCUCAUUUACUCAAAUGAAUUUUUGUAUUUUUUUUCAAUUCAUCAACUUUCAAAAUAAAGUUGAAAUUUUCUGUUUUCUUUUUGCCUAUAGAUCACUGAGCUCUAACACUGGGGUUCCCUAUUCCAGGACAACUCCUUUGAGUAUUGUCCUUCAAAAGCAGUUGUGGAAUGUUGUUGAUGUCCCUUUCCAAAGAAUUCUUUAAAAAGCAUAUUUUUUUUUCCUACUGUAUUAAGAUAUGCAAAAUUCCUCUAUUGGGUUGUUUCAGCAAGUGUUUUAAUUAACUGAUCAGAAAUGCCAUUUUUGGGACUCCAAAGUGUCUGUAACACAUUUGCCUUUUUUGUGGGGCAUUUUUAUUUUAUUGCAAGCAGUACAGCAUGAUGCCUAACAGCACGGACUCGGAAACCAGACAUUAUUUUGUGUUCAAAUUCCUUCACACUCUAGCCACCUUUUACAUGACAUUUAACCAUUACUUGUCUUAAUGUCCUUACUAACAAAUGGGAAUAAUAAACCUAUUUUAUAGGGCUAUUUAUAUUAUUCUUACAUGCAAAUAUUAAACAAGGGUAAAAAUACAUUUUCUCAGUCCAAUUACCUUGAAAUUUAUUUUAUUGUUAGUGCUGUGAUUUUCACUUAGAGGUUAGUUUUAAAUUCAAGUUUUAGUUAACUAUAGAAAAUGCAAUCAAGGCCAUAGAGAUUUGCUGUUAGCAAUAAUGCUUUAAUUUUUUGUCCUCAAAUUCUUUGAGGGCUCUAUUCAUCCCACACAUUCUGUUUCAGCUGUGUAGCUGCAAAGAUUCUGGGGAAUGCCAGCCAUACAAGGAGACACUUCUCCACAGAACAAAGCACUUGUACAGAAUAAUGUAGAUGGGAAGGAUGGAAUAGGUGAACCCUUAAUUAAAAAUGUAUUUCUGGGCUGGGGCUACACCUCAGCAGUAGAGCGCUUCUCUAGCACAUGUGGGGCACUGUAUUCAAUCCUUAGCACCACAUAAAAAUAAAUAAAUAAAAUAAAGGUAUGGGGUCUACUACAACUAAAAAUACUUUUUAAAUGUAUUUCUGUUUUCAUGAUCAAACAUUAUUUAAAACUUUAAAGUAUUAAUCAUGAAUCCUAUUUAAAUAAUAGGUGAACCAAGCUCAGUAUUAUAGUAUUCUAAGAAAUUUACUCACGGAAAAAUUAUUUCCAUUACUAGCUAAUGAAAAAUGAGGAAUUAGUACCUGUGUUCUGAAGACAAAUAUAGAUGUUUACUUCACAAAAUUUCAUAAAUAUAUAUUUAACAUAUAUAAUAUACAUAGACACAUAUGAUUUAUGUGAACAUAUAUUAAGGCAAUCUGCCACUUAUGCUCUUCAAAUUGUAUCAUUUCUACCAAAUUUAGAUCUUAAAAAUGUGUAGAAAACUGGCAUAACACAUUUGACAGACUCUAAUAAGGUCAAAAGAUGUACUGUAAAUUUUUUAUUGAAAUAUAACACAUAUACAGAAAAGUAUAGAUGUAAAUAUAUAGUUUAAUGAAUUUUUACAAAUUGUACAUUUCCAUGUAACCUGUACCAACAAAUGGAACAUCAGAAAUCCCUACUGUGUCACUUAUGAGUCAUUAACCCUAAGUAAGGGUUACUAUAUACUGAUUUGUAAAAAUAUAAUUAUAAUUCUUUUUGAAAUUUAAAUACAAAGACACAUUACAGUAUGUACCUUUUCUUGUUUAAUAUCUAUCCCCUAAUAUUAUUUAUUUUGUGAGGUUCAACUAUAUCUUGAAAACAAUUGACUUUCUCACUGCUAUAAACACAUUUUUAAAAGUCAUUUGGGUAGUUUCUACAAGAGAAAUUAUGAAUUGCAUUGAUAUGAAUAUUUUAGCAUGAAAAUGUUGGUUGACACAGAACUAAUACCUUCUUGAAUAUAAACAAGAAAUAGAAUUGAUAAAUUACAAGGUAAGUACACAUUUAGAUUUGGAAGAUACUACUAAACAGUUUUUCCAACUUGUAUGUAUGAUGAUAAAGAGUUUUCCAAAGUACUUUCGUUCUCUUGAUUGAAAGCUGUUAGGACUAUUUCAUAGAGAUUCCAAUAUCAUUGAAUUCUAAAGGGAAAAAGUGGAUUUCUUAUCCCUUUUCAAGAGUCUGUGCAAAAUUUUCUGCUUCAUUUCCAAGACCAAAAACAUGUCACAAGGGAUUAUUGGAAGAGGAAGACUACAAAAACAACCAGACUUUUCACUUUUCUCAGGUCAAGAGCUGCAUCCUUGCCUUGUGUUAUCAUAGUUAAGAUGCUCUCUCACUUGACUCUGCAAAUACAUGGAAUAUGUACUCAAAAGGUGAUGAAACAUCUGAGUAUCUUAAACUGGCACCAUUACAAAAGUUCUACCACAGCAGGUACCCAGAUGUAGAUGGAAUCAUCUGAUAUGUUAGAAUCUUUCCAGCCUAUAUUUAUUCUUGCCUUAUUCAGCAAAUAUCCGAGAAUAGUGUUCAGUGUGUGUCACAGAAUGUGCCAGCAUGAUUAAAUUAUUAAUAUCAAAAAUUGAAAACAAUAAUAUGGCUUAAACUAAAAACAAUUUACUUAAAAUUUUAGAUAUACAAAUUCUGUUCCAAGUUUUUCCAGGAAAAAAUAUAAUUUAUAGUCUUUCCUAUAAUGCCUGCUCUCAAUAGAAGGGAGUUCAGCAGUGUAGGGCAAGUGGAUUAGAGGAAUCAAAGAGGGGAGAGAAAGAGAAGGUACCAGGAAAGAAGACUGAGUAAAUUCUGUCAUGUGCAUAUAUGCAAAUGGCUCAAAUUGCAAAUUCCCAAUAUUAUGUAAAAUUACAAUGCACAAAUAAAAACUUUAAAAAAGCAUACUUACUUUUAAAUAAAGUUUCCUGAGAGUUAUUUUCAUUGUCUUAUUUAAAAUACUAGCAAAGGAGAAGUAACUGUAAAUAAUACAAAAUGCUAAUACCUUUAUAAGGAUUAUUUAUAUUCUAGUUUAGAAUAUUGUUUGUUCCUUUACUGGUAAAUAGGUACAUCUUUGGUUUGGCACUUCACCACAUGCCAGCCAGUAAAGCCAUGCUCUUAAUAUUCAGCAGUAAUCAAUAUUUCCAUUUCUUUUGUUUAUAUCAAUCUGAAAUUCAUUCUUCAGUAAAAGAUAUAAUUUGUUCUUUCCUUUUUUUUUUUGAAUUUUUUAAUAUUUAUUUUUCAGUUUUCGGUGGACACAAUAUCUUUAUUUUUUUUUUUUAAUGUGGUGCUGAGGAUUGAACUCAGCGCCCCGUGCAUGCAGGUGAGUGCAUUAUCACUUAAGCCACAUCCUCAGCCCAAAAAGACAUUUCUUUUUUUUUGCUUUUUAUUUAUUUAUUUUUUUUUAAUUUUUUAUUGUGGGUUGUUCAAAACAUUACAAAUUUCUUGACAUAUCAUAUUCCACACUUUGAUUCAAGUGGGUUAUGAACUCCCACCUUCACCCCAUACACAGAUUGCAGAAUCACAUCAGUUACACAUCCAUUGAUUUACAUAUUGCCAUACUAGUGUCUGUUGUGCUCCGCUGCCUUUCCCAUCCUCCACCCUCCCCCCUCCCCACCUCUCCCCUCCCCUCCCCUCCCCUCCUCUCUCUCUACCCACUCCACUGUAUAACCCUGAGGGUCUCCUUCCAUUACCAUGCAAUUUCCCUUCUCUCUCCCUUUCCNCAAAUGCCAUGACUUAUUCUCUUUUAAUGCUGAGUAAUAUUCCAUUGUGUAUAUAUACCACAUUUUCUUUAUCCAUUCAUCUACUGAAGGACAUCUAUGUUGGUUUCACAAUUUAGUUAUUGUGAAUUGUGUUGCUAUAAACAUUGAUGUGGCUGUGUCACUGUAGUAGGCUGUUUCUAAGUCCUUUGGAUAUAAACCAAGGAGUGGGAUAGCAGGGUCAAAUGGUAAUUCCCUUCCAAGUUUUCCAAGGAAUCUCCAUACUUCUUUCCAUAUUGGUUGUACCAAUUUGCAAUCCCACCUGGAGUAGAAACAUAUCUCAACAUCAUAAAAGCUAUCUAUGCAAAGCCCCAGGCCAACAUCAUUCUAAAUGGAGAAAAAUUGAAGGCAUUCCCUCUAAAAACUGGAACAAGACAGGGAUGCUCUUUUUCACUACUUCUAUUUAAGAUAGUUCUUGAAACUCUAUCCAGAGCAAUUAGACAGACAAAAGAAAUGAAUAUGAAAAGAAGAACUCAAACUAGCACUAUUUGCCAAUGACAUGACUCUAUACCAGAGGAUCCAAAACUUCCACCAGAAAACUUCUAGAACUAAUAAAUGAAUUCAGCAAAGUAGCAGGAUAUAAAAUCAACACCCAUAAAUCAAAGGAAUUUAUGUACAUUAGUGACAAAUCCUCUGAAAGAGAAACUAGGAAAACUACCCCAUUUACAAUUGCCUCAAAAAUAAAAUACUUGGGAAUCAACUUAACAAAAGAGGUGAAAGACUUUUACAAUGAAAAUUUCAGAAUGUUAAAGAAAGAAAUUAAAGAAGACCUUAGAAAAUGGAAAGGUAUCCCUUGUUCUUGAAUAGGCAGAAUUAAUAUUGUCAAAAUGACCAUACUACCAAAAGCACUAUACAGAUUUGAUGCAAUUCCAAUCAAAAUCCAAAUGACAUUCCUCAUAGAAAUAGAAAAGGCAAUAAUGAAAUUCUUCUGGAUAAAUAAGGGACCCAAAAUUGCCAAAGCAAUCCUUAGAAUUGAUGUGUGUGUGUGUGUGUGUGUGUGUGUGUGUGUGUGUGUGUGGUGUGUGGGGUCAGAAUCAAGAUUCUCUAGUUUUCAUAUGCAUAUGCAUUGACUUGUUAUUAUUAAUGAUAAUGCUUUACCCAAUAUGUUAUAGGGUUACUUUUGUUAUAAAAUAAAUGACCAUAUUUAUGUAAAUCUGUUUCACUGUUUCAUUUUUUUUUCAUUCAAAUGUGUGACUUCUCAGUUAAUCCAUGGUUUUCAUUGGUCUUUAUGUAAGAAUAACUGGUAGGUGUUAAUGCAAUUUAUCAGAUGAACAGUUAGCAGCACUUUUAAAGUUAUAUUUCAAAUCUGCUGAAUCAUAAAGUUAUUCCUUGCUAGAGACAUUUUAUAGGUAAAAAAGAGUAGCUGGAUAAUAAUGAUUGAAUUGCAUUCUUCUUUGUCCAAAAAAGCACAUUGGUUAGAGAUCACAAUAUCUUUAUAAAACUGGUUAGGCUCCUCCCAAGAGCAAGAUUCAAGUGGGUGGUUUUCCAGAUUGACUCUUAAAUCAUUGAUAUCAGUCUUAAAAGCUUAUCAUUUUAUCAGGAAUGUUAAUUUCUGCCUGGAAGGGUGACAGAUUACAUCAGCUCAAAAUUUCUGUCAAAGGUCAGCUUUAUAACAAUUUUCUUUCUUAUAGGUGUUUUUCAGCAAACGUUUGUAAAGGAUUGAUUCUAAACUCCUGGAAAGAAAUGUUUCCCUAGAUGUUGAAGUCAAAGACCAGCUAUCUUCUUUAUUCAGUUUAUUCUAACUUAAUCCUUCAACCUGGACAUAUAAAAUAGAAUUUAAAAUUUUUAUGAAUUGCUUUUCCUUCCACACUUGGUAAGAGUGGCUGCAAAACUGACAAUUCAAGCCAGUUAGAAUAAUACUGAAAAAUUUUACCUUGUUCAUAUGUUGAAAAGCUCUUCUACUUUCAGCAAGAUUAGAAUUUUUUUUUCACUUUCAAAAUGUUUAUUUAAAUCUUAAUUUUGAAAUACAUAUUUUUUUUAUGUUUGAAUCAAAUGGGGUAUAAUUUCUCCUUUUUCCAAGUGUACAGGUUGCAGAAUCACAUUGGUUAUACAGCCACAUUUAUACAUACAGCAAUACUACUGUCUAUUUUAUUCUGCUGCCCUUCCUAUCUCCCCUUCCCCUCCCCUCUCCUCCCAUCACCUCUCUCUACCCAAUCUAAUGUGACACAUUUCUUUUUUUUUCCCUCACAAUCUGAAUUCUCCAAAAACAAAAUAAAUAAAUAAAUAAAAUAAAC